rnacentral:rRNA from 1 species
AGUGAACGCUGGCGGUAGGCCUAACACAUGCAAGUCGAACGGCAGCACAGUAAGAGCUUGCUCUUACGGGUGGCGAGUGGCGGACGGGUGAGGAAUACAUCGGAAUCUACUUUUUCGUGGGGGAUAACGUAGGGAAACUUACGCUAAUACCGCAUACGACCUACGGGUGAAAGCAGGGGAUCUUCGGACCUUGCGCGAUUGAAUGAGCCGAUGUCGGAUUAGCUAGUUGGCGGGGUAAAGGCCCACCAAGGCGACGAUCCGUAGCUGGUCUGAGAGGAUGAUCAGCCACACUGGAACUGGGACACCGUCCAGACUCCUACGGGAGGCAGCAGUGGGGAAUAUUGGACAAUGGGCGCAAGCCUGAUCCAGCCAUACCGCGUGGGUGAAGAAGGCCUUCGGGUUGUAAAGCCCUUUUGUUGGGAAAGAAAAGCAGCAGGUUAAUACCCCGCUGUUCUGACGGUACCCAAAGAAUAAGCACCGGCUAACUUCGUG